rnacentral:lncRNA from 1 species
UUGGCUACCCCUGCACUCUGUGGAGGCUCAGCGUCAGGUUGCAACUCAGAACUCCUGUGAACUCCAAGAACCAGAAGAUCCAGGCCACAGAGCCCCAUCUUCACAGCCUCCGCAGCCCCCGCAGCCUCCAAAGGGCACUCCUCACUGCAUGUGCUCGCCAGGCUGAUUUCACAGUUGGAGCCUUGCUAGUAAGACCCUACAGGCAGUUCCCAAGAUGGGGGAAAGGAAAGGCCAGAACAAGUACUACCCUCCGGACUUCAACCCCGAAAAGCAUGGCUCUCUCAACCGAUACCACAACAGCCACCCACUUCGAGAACGGGCUCGGAAGCUCUCACAAGGCAUCCUUAUUAUCCGAUUUGAAAUGCCAUACAACAUCUGGUGUGACGGCUGUAAGAACCACAUCGGCAUGGGUGAGCGUGGGUGAGCGCCGCAAUGGGUGUGCGCUACAAUGCAGAAAAGAAGAAGGUUGGCAAUUACUACACGACUCCGAUCUACAGGUAGGAGCCUCUGGUGGCACUUUAGGGAUAGGCAUGGCUUCGGGCUACAGGGUCCAUACAGGAGUCUUGAAAGGGAAGGAUCUCAGCAUCUUCCUCUAGAGCCUUCCUGUGUAGAGCUGUCCAGCCGGUCUGUCGCCCUCCUCCAGCACUUCAUGGCUCCCACCUUCUCCAGUAAAAGGUCAGGCUCUCUCACUGCGCUUCAAGCCUUGUAACCUCUGCUCCCUCUACACACAAGCUGAAUGGCUCCAUCCCUGUGCUGUCCCCA